CAUCCUCUCUGAUGGAGAAACCGGGAGCCGGGAACCGCAGCUGGGGCCACCCCCGGCCCCCGCUUGGGGGCGCGGAGGCGGGAGGCAGGGUGGGCGACCUGGUGGCGGCUCGGCAGCCCAGCUGGAUUUCCGUGCCCCAAUUUACUGUCAUUGCCAGAGCUUCUGAGCAUGCGCUGAAGGCAGAGCUGGACUAACCAACGCUCUCCUGAGGCUCAAGCUAAUGUGGUGUCUCAGAAGUCUACUGAAACUUGCUGUGCGAGAUAAUAGACUUCACGUAUGUUAAGUGUAGUAUCAGAUCCUUUGGGAAUCAGUGUUGUACACCAGCCUAAAUGUACCUGGAGUUACUGUCUUUUUAAGAAAUCUGAAGAAUGUUGUUCCUUCUGCAGGAACCUUCAUGCUGAGAUGACCCUAGAUUGUUAGUAUGUCACAGCAAGAUGCCUUAAUGAAGGUAGUCAGAGUGCAGAUAACUGCCAACCUUAAACUAAUAUAAACACAGCAAAUACAAAGGGAAAAAUCAGAUCACAAGGAAGCCAGAUUCUGUGGGUAGAUUUCUGGGAGGAAGGAGCAAGAAGACAAAGGGAGGAGAAGCAAAAAGAAAAUGGACUUAGCAGUGAGAUGGACAUGUCUCCACCAUCUCGCCGCUCAAACUAACAACAAUCAUUCAAAAGCCAUCCCUAAGUUGGUGAAAUAUAUAUAUAUUAAAACAGAUCAAAGUUUAAUGGGGAGAAAUAGGCCAUUUCUAUAUCUCAAACCUUAGCAAUAAAAGAGUAGGAAUAAAGAUAGGUCUAAAAUUCAGGAGUUACAGUAGAGCGAUAUGAAAUAUGGGGGAAAUUAUGUUUGAGUUUAGAUGCUUGAGUGUUUUGUUUGCUAAGAGUCCAAAUUUACAUGUUGUUCAAGAGGCACUGAGCUUAGAUAAUAGGACAUUCAUUUAAUUCAACAAAUUCAUUCCUGAGUGCCCAACUUUAAUGAAAAUGUCAGUGUUGUUGUUGUUGCUGUUAUUGCUGGUGUUUCUUACAUGGGAGAGUUGUACAGCUAUGUAAUACAGGCCAAAAUGGUGAAUUUACUAUACUCAGGGAUCAAUACAUUGAGGCUGUGAUUUGAUGGGGUGGAUGAAAAUGUGCCCUAUAGAAGGAGAAAUGCCUCAACGCUCCCUAUAAUUGAAAUCUGGAUGCUUCUGGAACAGCCUGAACCUCUUUAGUUGGUUGAAGUAUUGCACAAAGAGGAUGGUAACCUGUGUAUCAAGAGUCUUAGCUCCAAAUGGACGGUAUAAACUAAAACCAGCAAUCCACAUUGCUUUCAGAAAAUAGGAAGCCAAAGUCGAUUUCAGAGAUUCAAGUCUGCUACACUUGACCUACUCAGUCUCAGAAAGAGGGGUCGCCAAUCCUAAACCAUUCUGAAACUCCUAAGUAUUACAAUUCGUUCAACAAAGGCUUGCUGAGCAGCUAGCUCUACUGGGCAUUGUUUUACAGCAUUAAACUGGCAAGGCUUCUCCCAGUCCCUGGCGCUGCUUGCAUUCCAGA